AUGCCUAGAUUCAAUGAUGUCGUCCUCAAAGCUUGGAAUGAGCAUUGUGAGCACUCGGAACCGUAUCAGCUGUUGUUCCAUAAAAUAAAGAAGACGACCACUCGUCUCACCGAAUGGAGCAGGAGGCUGUUCUUCAAGGCAAAGAUCCACCACCACGCGACCCUCUUGGUCAUUCUACAGCUUGGCAUGACUCAAGAAAAUCAGCCAUUAUCCCUUGAAGAGCUGGACCUGCGUGCUAGACUAAAGAAACAAGUUGUAAGCCUGGCGGUUCUUGAGAGGGCCCGGAAGAAGCAAUGUGCCAGAGUGGCCAACCUGAGGGAGGGAGACGCAAGCACCAAAAAUUUUCACCGGCGCAUAAAUGCGAGAAGACGAAAGAACCACAUUCAUCAGAUAAAGCAUGAGCAUGGUUGGGUGACCGAGCAUGAGGCGAAGGAGAAAAUCCUUCAUGAGCACUCUCUGAGGUCAUGGGAAGGGGAGACACAAGCACUAAGGACUUCAAUCGGGAUGAUCUUAACACUGUGUCGCAUGAUCUGCAGGAGUUGGGGGCGGCCAUCACGGAGGAGGAGGUCAGAAAUUCCAUUGAUGAGAUGCCUAGCGACAAGGGACCCGGGCUGGAUGGAUUCACAGGCAUGUUUUCAAUAA
rnacentral:rRNA from 1 species